AUGGCAGAAUCUGUCCUGUUCUACUGGCUCCAAGAGUGAGAGGUCUAUCCUAUGUCUAACAAUUUCAAAGGCAUGCCACAACGUUAAGGUUAUAAGGUGGGAAAUGGACAAAUGAAUGUCAAAUUACUGACAUUGCAAAGCACAACCUUGGGAACAAAUCACAAUUCUCAGCUGUCAGUGGAGGAAGUUUUAUAAGAAAAAAUGCUGAGUCUUUGGAAGAGUAGAAUGAAGGUUUGUUGCAUUCUGCAGUACUUCAAGGAUAAUGUGGGUUGAAGGCAAAUAGAGACCCCUCUCAGGAUAUGGGAUAACUCAGUAGUUCUCAUCAGGGAAUGAACUUCUUGGUGUGACUGAUUUCUGAUACAAGGUCCAUUUUAGCAGUAACAUUCAGGAAUAUGAAGUAAUAGAAGUGCUCGCUAUCACAGCUGAAUUAGCACUAAUGUUGGGCCAGGGCAAUAUUUGCAAAUGCACUGAAACAAAGGUGAGGACAAAAGUCAGCAUUUGUUGCUUAGGUCAAUCACAUAGCAGAACAAUUCAAUCCUUAAGGAAUAUGGAAUACAGUCUUUGUGCUGAAUAGUGUCAGAAAUUAGGAUGAAACUGUUAUGUUGUAUAUUUUAAGAUAUUUGUGUUCUGUCUAAAUUGUUUUUGUUUUCUGUUGGUUUUAUUGUUUUUGUAAUACACUUCAGUUCUGUUGUUAAAGAAACUGCAGCCUCACUUGACUAUACUGGUGAUUGAAAAUAAAGAAAUUUAUCAAA